AAUCGCGAUUUAAUUAUGUGAUGAUACGAACGAAAUUCUGCCCUAUCAACUUUCGAUGGUAAAGUAGAGGUUUACCAUGGUUUUAACGGGUAACGGAGAAUCUGGGUUUGAUUCCGGAGAAAAAGCCUGAGAGACGGCUAUUACUUCUAAGGAAGGCAGCAGGCGCGUAAAUUACCCAAUCCCAAUUCGGGGAGGUAGUGACGAGAAAUACUUGUAUUGGCCCCAACGGGGACAAUGAUAGGAAUGAGAACAAUGUAAAAAACUUAACGACUAACAAUUGGAGGGCAAGUCUGGUGCCAGCAGCCGCGGUAAUUCCAGCUCCAAUAGUGUAUAUUAAAGUUGUUGCAGUUAAAAAGCUCGUAGUUGGAUUUCGGAUCUCUUAUUUAGAUUGGUAAUUAUAUUACUGGUCGAUUUGAGGGAUUCUACUUUAAAUGGAUAGUCAAUAUUCAUUAAUUGUUUACUGUGAAAAAAUUAGAGUGUUUAAAGCAGGCAAAUGCCUGAAUAUUUCAGCAUGGGAUAAUUAAAUAUGACAAUAGUCUUAAUUUGUUGGUUUCUAAGGCUAAUGUAAUGAUUAAAAGGGACAGUUGGUGUGACUUGUAUUGGCUCGCUAGGGGUGAAAUCCUAUGAUUGAGUCAAGACAAACUACUGCGAAAGCAUUUCACAAAGAUGUUUUCAUUAAUCAAGAACGAAAGUUGGGGGAUCGAAGAUGAUCAGAUACCGUCGUAGUCUCAACUGUAAACGAUGUCGACUUAGGAUCGGUAAAUAUUACAUGGAUGAUUUUACCGGCACUAUGUGAGAAAUUAAAGUAUUCAGACUCUGGGGGGAGUAUGGUCGCAAGGCUGAAACUUAAAGGAAUUGACGGAAGGGCACCACCAGGCGUGGAAUCUGCGGCUUAAUUUGACCCAACACGGGGAAACUUACCGGGUCCGGACUUUGUGAGGAUUGACAGAUUGAUAGCUCUUUCUUGAUUUAAAGGAUGGUGGUGCAUGGCCGUUUCUAGUUGGUGGAACGAUUUGUCUGGUUAAUUCCGAAAACGAACGAGACCUUAACCUAUUAAAUAUGUUGUAUGAUUGUAAUGUAAAAGUUAAUUUAAUUGUAAAUUUGUAAACUUCUUAAAGGGACUCUUCACAAUUAAGUGAAGGGAAGUUUAAGGCGAAAACAGGUCUGUGAUGCCCUUCGAUGUUCCGGGCUGCACGCGCGUUACACUGUUAUGUUCAAUGAGUUUUUAAAUUCCUUGCUUUAAAAGGCUGGGCAAACUUACCAAAGCAUAACGUGAUUGGGAUUGUGCCUUGUAAUUAUUGCACAUGAACGAGGAAUGCCUAGUAGGGGCAGGUCAUCAGCCUGCUCCGAUUACGUCCCCGCCCUUUGUACACACCGCCCGUCGCUUCUACCGAUUGAAUGAUACGAUAAGGACUCAGGACUGAGUCAGGAUUGUUGGCUGAAAGGACUUCAAUCUUGAUUUGAGAAUUUGUUCAAAUCUUAUUAUUUAGAGGAAGGAGAAGUCGUAACAAGGUU
rnacentral:rRNA from 1 species